UCUUCCCCGAGACCUUCUCCCCCCUCGCGCCCGCAAACCUUCUGCCUUAACCGCCCACGGCGGUUUUCCUCCUCUCGCUCGCGUGCAUAAGGCCGGGAUCAAGAGAAGUCGGUGUUCUCUUCUCCCUCUCCGCAACCGAUGCCUUCUUCUUACUAUUUCUCCAAGCGUCGACGACGCGCGAGCACAGCCGAACCGAGCCCUCUUUGCCCUAGCGCCGACCCGCCACCGAGCCCUAGCAUCUCCGCCGACGCCAAGCAGUGCCGGCGACCCAUCCUCUGCCCUAGACUCAUUCAGCACCGCCGGCCACCCCGUGCCCUAGCCGAGCCCUUGCCGUGGAGUUCCCAGCGCCGUCGCCGCCUCACGGGACAUCGCCGAACCCGAUUUCCCUCGUCUCUCCUCCUUCCCGAGCCGCACCAGGCGCUGCCAUCACUUGAGGCCGGACGGAACAGUGCAAACGACUACCUCUUCAGUUGCCCUAGCCUUCGUCCACUGCAGAUUUCCUCACAGUUGUCCUCGGCAGAUCGCUGCCCACUUUCGUGCAUUACUUCUUACUGCCGAUCAACUCACUUGUUGCUGUGCCAUUGACGGUGUUGAUUUGGGGCUCAGAUCAUAGAGUGUGGAGGAUUUCCAGCAGCAAUUACUUCGUUGGCAGCAAGUUGUCCUACGGAGCAACACCUGUGGAGGUUUUGGAUUAAGGACUUUGACGCGAGACGAGUAUCUCGAUGUCGGAUUUGGACAU